ACUUCAAUUAUUUCAAGCCAUUUGAAUCAACCUAACAUUCUCUCACAAAAAUUACGUCAAAUAUUUCAAGCCAUUUGAAUCAACCUAACUUCCUCUCUAAAAAAUUACUACUACUUAAAUAGUUCCUCCAUAGCAAUACCAGAAACACAACAUUCUCCACUUGACUCACUUUUCAAACACAGCAGCAAAAUACCGAAGGCGUUCCUCUCAUUCUACUUAUUCACGAAAUCACCAAAAUGUGGAAGCUUAUCAUUUCCUCGAUGCUGGUUGCAUGCCUUCUUGCAAGCAGCCUCGAUGUUCCAUUCACUGAAGUCUCCAAUACAACUCAAAAAAAAAAUAGUGAUACAUGCUACCAAGUUGUCAUAAAUAAUCAUUGCCUGGAGUCAAUUUACGAUGCCUUUUGUUAUGAUGAGACUUAUGAUCCAGUAGGCGAUGGUUGUUGUUUUUAUUAUAUACAAAUUGCUGAAGAUUGCAUACCUAAAAUGGCUUCAGAUGCAAAAGCAUUGAAUCGUUGUGGCCAAGAAAUUGAUCAAAUUGAUGAAAGAGCUACAAAUCUUUAUCAAUUUUGUCUACGUAAUCUGUAAUUCACAAUUAGGUGACCCAAUGAUCAUAUAAGAAUGUUUUCUUUAUUCCCAAAUAAUUUCCAUCUUUAUGUUAUUAUAAAUUAAGUGUUGGAAUAUUGAAUUAUUCAUUCUUGUUGUAAUAGUAUAAGAAUAAAUCAUAACGGAGGCUGUUUAUUAUUUUA